GUGCUUGCUUCUGCAGCACAUAUACUAAAAUUGGAAUGAUUCAGAGAUUAGCAUGUCCCCUGUACAAGGAUGACAUGCAAAUUAAUGAAGCAUUCCAUAUUUAA
ensembl:snRNA U6 U6 spliceosomal RNA